rnacentral:lncRNA from 1 species
CCCUAUCCUUUGGCUACAUUUUUAACCCACGAAACACGAAUAAAAAUCAAGAACGUUGACACAGGGACUUUUGAGCGGCUAGAUUGGCGUUUUUCCCCACUGUGCCCCGCCCCCUACCCCCUCCCCUCCCCCCGCGGGCGUCGCGUCAAUCGGUCUGCCCCAACGAACUACACCCCUAGAAUGGCUGACCAAUGAUAGAGACCCGAGACGUUUUGAAGUUGAUAUAGGUUAGGUUUACUUGGGCUUGCACUUGGGCUCACACUGUGUGUUUGUACGGAUUGAGUCGUCAAAAUUUUGGGCUUGGACCGUAAAUUUUCAUGUUUGUCGAAAAAUGCUCGUGGAAAAUGAUUGUGGCUGUUCAAUAAGUAAUAUUCUUUACGUAUUUGUUGAUUUGUUGUGAUUUUUCACUUAAAAUAGUGUAAAAUAAUGUCCUUUUGUAGUGCGAUAAACUGCACAAGCAGCAGCAAGAAGAAGGAGCCUGGAGUUUCAUUUCAUGCCUUUCCACUGAAUGAACCAGAGCGCUGUGCCAAGUGGGUGCAAGCAACUCGGAGAGAGACCAAAGGGCACAAUUUUCCGAGCAAAUAUUCUUACCUGUGCUCGAAGCACUUUCCGGAUACUUGCUUCCGUGAGGCGAAGGGGCGAAAAGUCCUAAAUUGUACUGCUAUACCAUCGAUUUUUAAUUUUGGCAAAGAAGAGCCGCAGAAACCAACCAGAAGAAGGUUGUUCCGUGACCUCCAAACGGCUGAGACACCUCCGGUCCCAAAACGGACCAAAGUGAUUCAGAAACCUGGUUUCCUGGAUGCAAUCGGUAUGUUUUUAAUCAAAAUUAUCCGUCAAAUCAUCAGUCGGCGAUCAAUUUAUCCCAGUUGCAUGAGUCCACCAUGAGAAGGUCAGUAUCACCAAGGUUGAACAAUUAAUACAAAGAAUACAAAAAAUAAAACACUGAAAAUCAUUUUCGUCUUUAAUUCUAGUCAUAUCUGUGUUGUUUCUUCUGAAGACACGCAUUAAUAAGGGCAUUUUUGCGAAUAAUUCUCUCUUAAACCCACGAAUAUCAUACACGGUUUCUUAUGAUAACAAUUCUCCGGGACCCAAGUAAACAUAACCUAACUUCUGUACUCUCGCGUUCCGCUCUUUCCCUAUCUGGCGGCCAUUCUAGGGGUGUAGUUCGUUGGUCUGCCCGGCCACUUUGGUUCUUAUGUCACCGAUCCUUCGUUCCGAUCCGUU